UAAAAAAAAUAAUUUAAACCCCUCCCUUAUCUGAUGUAACUUUUUCCUCAAAUUUUUCUUAUUUAAGGGCUCUUCUUACUCCAUACAACCCAGAAAAAAAAACAAACGUACUAUUACUGCCUACACUGUAUUAGAUAAAAGAAAAACAGAGUGAACACCAGACAGAGAGAAUAUCAGUAAAAUCAUCAAACAAAAAUAAAACAGAGAAUGAAUAUCAGUGAAGUCGAGUUUGGGUCACAUUCAAAUUUCCGAAAGCGAUAUUCAAAGUUUCUGCUUCAUUUUCAUCGCAGAGGUUCAAAGAAAAGAGAAAGAUGACCCGCAAAGAGUGUGUGGGGUCUGAUAGUGAGUAAGAGAAAAAUCAGUUGAUUUCGCAAGAAUUAGCAUCAAUGGAAGAAAAUAAGUUAUUGAAACAACAGAUAGAAGAGAUGUACCAAGCUUGGUCGAAUGGACAAACCGCGCUUUCCUCAAUCCCUAGACUUUCGAAUACGAAUAAUCCAAAUUCCGCCUAAGCUCAAACUGGCAAUCCAUUUUUCCCACCUGGAUUCAGCCCAUAUGCUAAUGUGUCUGGUGCUGCUGGUACUUCUAUCAUGCACCCACUAAAUUCAUAUGUCUCAAACAACCCAUUUUUACUCCUGUAGCACCAGCUACUGCGGGUCCUCAAUUGACAGUACAAAAGAAUAUGGGUGGACUAAGUCAAGAUCAAUUAUAUCCUCUUUAAAUGACUUUCAAACCCCCAAAUCCACAUUAUCAUGCUCAUCAACAUGAUUCUCCUAUCGUGAUUGAGAAGAUUGUUAAAAGUGAAGAGCAGGAAGAGAUGGCCAAAAAAGUAAGAAGCUUAGAGCAGAGUAUGAGAAAUAUGCAAGGAUUAGGAGGACCAAAAAGUGUUUCAUACAAAGAUUUAUUUAUGUUUUCUGACGUUCAUUUGCCGCUAGGGUUUAAAAUACCAAAGUUUGACAAGUACGAAGGGCACGGUAAUCCAGUGGCAUACUUGAGGCGUUAUUGUAACCAAUUAAGAGGUGCCGAAAUUAAAGAAGAAUUACUCAUGGCUUAUUUAGGUGAGAGCCUUUCGAGUCUAGCCUCAAAGUGGUUUAUGAAUCAGGACAUCAACAAGUGGAGUAAUUGGGAUGACUUGGCUAACGAAUUCGUGCAACAAUUUCAGUACAAUUUGAAGCUGAUUCCUGAUGAGAAAUCCCUGACUAAUAUGAAGAAGAAGAAGAACAAUGAAAAUUUCAGAGAGUAUGCGAUUAGAUGGCAUGAACAAGCUGCUAGGGUGAAAUCGCCAAUGAAAGAUGAAACAUACUAUCAACACUUGUUACCUGCAUUAGGCAAAUUAUUUAUUGAGGUCUUCUGAAUGGGAGAAAUGAUAGAGGAUAGAAUUAAGACUGGUCGCAUUGUGAGUUUUACAACAUUGAAAGCGACCACUCAAGCAAUUCAGAAGGGUUCAUGAAAUAUUGGAGGGAAGAAGAAUGAGGAAAAUGUAGCUGCUAUUGUAGCUAAACAACGUUCACGUCAAAGAAGACCACGUCGCCGUUACCCUUAGUCUCAAUCCCAAGUUCAUGCCCAAGCUCCACAUAAUCACUCCCAAAAUCCAGUAUACUCCAUUGCCCCACCUCCAUAUCCAGUAUAUAACGCACAACCACAUGUUAAAUCCCCAUCUUACCCACAAUGACAUGCACUAACUCCUUAGAGUCAUCCUCUAAUUCCACAAAUAUACCAAAGCCUUUCUAGGCCUGAUUUUUUAUUCAAACCAAACAAUGAAAUAAGGCAGAAGUCGAGGGAUAGUUUCACACCAAUUGGAGAGUCAUAUGCCAAAUUAUUUCAGAGAUUGGUACAGUGGGGCAUGAUCACUCCUCUUAUUGGGUACACUCCUAAUCGGCGUUCAAAAAAUUUUGAUCCUAAUGUACGAUGUGCGUAUCAUUCUGAUAUUCAGGGUUAUAGUACUGAAGAAUGUCGAGAUUUGAAAAGAGAAAUUGAAAAUAUGAUUCAAGAUAAAUCAAUUAUGGUGUAGAACAUUGACAGUGAGGAAAGCUCUAGUCAUGCUGAUAUGCAAACCAGUGGCUAAGAUGUCAAGCUCAGCAAUUGGGAAGUCACUCCUCUCCUUGCUAGAAUGAAUGUUUAGUAGUUUGUUUUGUUUUCCUUUAUGUUUUUUGAAUCAUUUCAAGAUUGUAGUUCUGAAUCUAUUUUGUUUUGCUUCUUUGUCGUCUUUGUUUAAACCUUUUUAUUUUUUCUUUCUGUGAAAUGUGGUGUCCCUUACUGUUUUGCCUUAUUUUAAGUUUGUUUGUAUUUUUUUAUGCAAUUCAUUUUAUAUUGAUUCUAGUGCUAUAACAUGCAUGUAAAAUUUUCAGCCAGAUCAUAAAAUUCAGUUUAAUCAUGAAACAUUGAAUUAAAGGGCUAAAAUUAAAAGAAAAAGACAUGAAAAAUAGGUAGAUUAUUAAGACAUUUGGUGACCAUGUUGAAGCCUUCUUUAAAAAUUAAUGCAAUUAUUUUGAGAAUCACAAGAAUAACUUGGUCAUUAAUUGAAAGACAUGUCUCAAUUAGGUCAAAUAGUAGAUGCGAGAUCCUUAUUCAAGAGAAAUAGAAAGUUAAUCAGCUCCACGAAAGCAUGAGUCAUUCAAUAUAAGGGAUGUACAACAAAGGUGGAGUUGUAGGUUUGACAAGUGUAAAAGACGAAGUGGCACACAUGCUCAGUUAAAGUUAGUGUUGUUAAAGUGUCAUACAUGAUCUUCAUCUCCCACUUUCAUAUUGCAUGUUAUGUACUUAUAUUUUCAAGGAUUGAUAUGACGAAGACAUUUUAUUCUGCUAUCCAAAUAUUUUGUCAUCCUUUGUUUACCUUGUCACACCCCUAUUUUUCACCGCAUCCAACCCCGCUAGGAAAUUUGAUUUUAGAAAAAAUGAAUUUUUCCAAUUAAAGUGACGUUUUGAAUAGGGAUUAUUUUAUUUACAGAGUCGCCACUUGGAAUUGACUUUGGGUGUUCCAAGUCACCUUAUUGAAUCACUGUUCAAAAGGAAAUGACUCUUUAUUUUUGGUCUGGAAACUAGAAAUUCAGAUAAGAAAUUCUGUUGACCGAGGAAAAGGUGUUAGGCACCCCUCGAGUUUCGUGGUUCUAGAACGGUCGCUUUAAUGACUUACGUCUGGCUUAAAUUAAUCUCUUGGAUACAUAAUAUUUGUUAGUCUAAAAGUUACUUACGUCCUACUUUGAAUUUAUUUUAAAUUAUUUAAUUAUAUUAAUGCGUGGUUUGCCAGUAGCAGUACUUUCUGGUCAUACCACAAGUUUUGAUACAUUUCUCGCGCCUUUGAGGCCUUUAUGGAUCGUCCCAUUUUUUCAAGUUUAGAUAAGCACCUAACAGGUUUAGAAUCUACCCAACUCAGUUCAAACGGCUUCAAAUGAUAUAUUGAAUUAUAACAAAUUGUCGGUAGCAGGGCUUUCCAACUUCAUCGUUAACUUUCACUCAUAUUAAACUUUUUAAAUUUCCUUUCGGUCAAGAAAUUGAACUUAUUCUUUUAAUAAUUAUUCUCUCAUUUACAUACAAUUUUAUAAUUUCUUAAACCAUUUAUAUUUGUCUAUUAUUAUUAUUAUUAUCGACCAAAUCAUACUCCUAAUGAUUCAAUUAGAUUACAAAGUAAUGAGGAUCUCAAGAAUAAAAUCCGACUUCAUUCGUCAUCAAUUUCAUAUAUUCAUCAUCCAAUUUAUACGAUAAAUAUUAUCAAGGUCGAUAAUAAUAGUAGACAAAUAUAAAUGGUUUAAUAAAUUAUAAAUAUUAUCAAGGUAACACAAACUUUAAAUAGAUACAUCCAAUAAAAUAAUAAGGAAAAUUGAAUGAAAUAUUAUAAAAAAAAAAAUAGCAGAGACAAAUUCAAAGGACCACUAAUUUAAUAAAUUAUUCGUAAACCCAUUUGGAAUUUCAUCCUGUAUUUUCCCUUUUCUUUCUUUCUCUUUCCCUUUUUUUAAAAAUCUUUUCUUUCUUUUUUUCUAAUCUCUCUCCACCAGGUCUCUUUUCGUUCCACCCCACUUUCUUUAACCUCUUUUUGUGUUCUGUGUUUCCACCUUUUUUUUUCUGACGAUUUCUUCUUUUCAUUUUACAAUCCGAGUGCGAGCGUUAUGCGCUUUUUUUCUUUUUCUAAUUAAAACUUUUUUUUCUUUUUGUUGCAUGCAUGCAUGCAUGAGUCAUAACUUAUAGUUUAUAACACAACUACGUCGAUUGCAUAUCAACUGAAUGUGAUGUUGUAAGAAAAAAUCUAGCACAUACAUCUAAUACAUUAAUAUUAUCUUAAAGAUUAAUCACUAUAGGAGAAAAGAAAUCCAAUAACUAACCCAAGAUAAGAAGCACUCGCCAUCUCAUACGUAUUGCAAAAAAUAAUAUAGAAACAUUUAGAAAAAAAAAAUCUCACCCAACCUUCAAUUAAUUCCAUAACGUAUAAUACAACAUCUCACGAAUUAUUCAAAGCUAAGGUGACAAUUGGAUUUUAUGCAUGUCAUUAUACCAAACAACUUACUUUAAAUUUAUCCACAUAAAAAGGGAAUAUUCCUUAUGUUGAAACAUUGUAUAUAAAAAUGAACAACUUAACAUGGGAAUCAAAUCUCGCCUAAUCACGAUGUUACAUUGUACAAAGAAGAAUUGAGGUUUACCUCUAGAAAAGAUAACUCACAAACAAAGUCAAUGUAAUUUACUGAUUUAGGAGCCACGACCAUGAAACCGUGAAUUAAAACCUCGAAACUUUCACUUUUCCUUUCUGGUGAACUAUUUUCCCCCCCUUUUGUUUUUCUUUCUAUGGCUUGAUGUUUUUCAAUAGUGUUGUCUUCUCUUGUAGCCUUUCUCACUGUCCGUGUAUGUGUAAUAUAAAUAGUGUUGGGUGAGGGAGUUGUGUUAAGUGUGUGUGCAUGGAGGAGAAAAUUGUGGGAAAAUGGGGUAAUGGGUGUUGGUUAUGGGAAUGGGUAGUUUAGGAUAAAUUUUUCCUUUUUUUUUAUUUUUUUUCCUUUUAAUU